GCCCAGAUGGUGAAAUCGGUAGACGCGGCUGAUUCAAAAUCAGUUUCCGAGAGGAGUGGGAGUUCGAGUCUCCCUCUGGGCACCA
rnacentral:tRNA from 1 species